rnacentral:lncRNA from 1 species
CGUAGAUGCCAAUCCAUGGCAUAGGCUCACUGAAUUUCGUGUCAUCAAGAUUUCCAUUGAUGUUGCAGCCAAUCCUACCCAUCCCGUGACUCAAUUCUUCCUGGAAGAUACUUUGUAAAGGUGAAGGGUUUUGCUUGAUUGUCUCCUAAAAUUAUCUAUUUGAUCACUUUUUGUUUCUGGUUGAACUCCAAACGCUGUCGUCAUCAUUGACUUUGAACUAUCUUUCUUCAGGCUGUUGCCAAAGUACCGUUUUGACACGAGCUUGGAUUGAAGUUAAAUGGAUGCGAACCACUUUUGGUAUUUGUGGAAAGGAUAAGAUUGGUUUUUUAAGCUCGUAAGGAGCAGUUAAUAGGGUUUUGUUGUCUAGUGACAGAGGU